ensembl:lncRNA novel transcript, antisense to CORIN and NFXL1
GCAGAGCUCAGAGCAGACCAAACGCCAAUGCAGAAGGCUCAAGAAAGAGGCAAACAGACUAGCCACUGCUCCAGGAUGACUGUGGCUCUUUAUGAGUGAAGAGAAAGGGUGGAGACUGAAGACAGAACUGGGGACAGUGACAGGCUUGGGGAAGAACAGCUGAUUCAGCAGUCCCAAGCAUCUGAACACAAGGUGGACAUUCUCCAGGGUGACAUCGCAAAAUACAUGGGUGAAGACAACCUAGUGGCCGUGACUUGGAGCACCCUUCCUCACAAUGAAGGCAUUCUGGGCCAGCCUGAAAAACAGCAUGGAAAUAAAUCACCUAAGUACAAGGGACCUCGGUGACAACGCUGUGAACAUCUAUGGAUUCCGCAUUCAAGUACUUUGUCACAACUGUCUCCACAAGUUGGUACAUCUUCUGUACAAGGCAAAGAAAACUCUAAAAACAUACAAAAAGUCAAUGUUAAUAAUGAGACAUUAUUAUUAAACAUCAACAAAGUGCCAUGUUCUUCAGGCUCCCUAAGGAAUGCUAGCACUUUCAGACUAUAAAUUUUUGUAUCCACAUAAUCAUUGGGAAAAAUUAACUUUAAUGAAAAUAAUCCCUAAUAUUUGUGAAGUUUAUGGUUUUUAAAAAGAAAUUUGACACAAGUUACUAUCCUCAAGAAACACAUUUUUAUGGGCUAUCUACUUCAGAAAUAGUUAUCUAAAGAAAUGAGUAAAGACUACAUAAACCAUU